rnacentral:rRNA from 1 species
UACGUAGGGUGCAAGCGUUAAUCGGAAUUACUGGGCGUAAAGCGUGCGCAGGCGGUUGUGCAAGACCGAUGUGAAAUCCCCGGGCUCAACCUGGGAAUGGCAUUGGUGACUGUACGGCUAGAGUGUGUCAGAGGGGGGUAGAAUUCCACGUGUAGCAGUGAAAUGCGUAGAGAUGUGGAGGAAUACCGAUGGCGAAGGCAGCCCCCCUGGGAUAACACUGACGCUCAUGCACGAAAGCGUGGGGAGCAAACAGG